rfam:Gorilla gorilla gorilla genomic chromosome, chr2B, whole genome shotgun sequence
GCCGGGCAUGGUGGUGCAUGCCUGUAAUCCCAGCUACUCAGGAGGCUGAGGCAGGAGAAUAGCUUGAACCCAGGAGGCAGAGGUUGCAGUGAGCCAAGAUCGUGCCACUGCACUCCAGCCUGGGUGACAGAGCGAGACUGUGUCUCAA